ensembl:lncRNA
CCUGUGUGCACAUUCAAACUGUCAAGUCUCUGAGUAUUUCUGGUGCUGAGGCUCUAAAAAUACACCCAGGCAGACUGGAGAGACUUCAGCCUCUCGCAGAGCCGACGUCUGCCUUGACUGGAAGCUCCGGAAACCGAAAGAAAGAUGUGAACGAGACAGAUGAGUACCAUAGUCUGACUGGAGAAGGGAAUGCAGAAGGAGAGAAAAUGAAGGGGGAUGUCGAGGCAGGAAAACACACAAAGGAACCUCCGACAGAGUGAAAAUCUUCAUUUUCCUCUACAGCCUCAGCACAGCGAGUCUUGGCAUAGACAAACGGCAGAAAUAAAGCUAGGACCAGAAGUUCCUCUAAGGAGAACCGGAUCCCGUCUCAUCUAGGGCUAUUGAGGGACCAGGACAUGGGGACGCAAGAACGUAAUAAUGAUGGACGGUGCUGAUUGGACAUCUUGUGUGAAUUAAACUGGGUUUGACUCUGCUUCGUGUCCCUGUGUGCGGCAGAUCGGAUAACAAAGCCAGGCUUGUGAAGGUAAACCGAUCCUAUCACCAGACUCCAUUCGGCAGCUUCACGGGUCUGUCCACAGAAAAGUUUCUAUGUUUCUUUGCGCUGAAAGAGGAGAGCAGUGGAUAGACACACACACAAAUAAGCACCUAUACUUUGGACACACACAGGUAUGCUUACUGCUCCACACACACAUUCAACAGGCCGUGAAAUGGGGCCUUAUCGGGCUGACAGCAAAUGAGAUGUAAAAGGUCUUUUCAGGUAUGCACAUUCCUGCCUGUCAUCCUCAAGAGCAUCAUUCAUCUUAGUUUCCAGUACAGAAAACUCCACAUGAUUUCUCUUACAUUUUGUCCUUGAGGUACAGUAAAAACCCUGUACGGUAAGCUCUCUAUUUAUCAACACUAGCUAUAACUCCAUUUAUACGGUCAGUUUAACCUGUAUAGUCAUUUUAACAUCAUUUUAAUUAUGUGUAAUAAUACUCAUAUAAAGUUAAAGUGGAUGUCUGUUAAUCUAUUAAAUUAUAAUACACAUCAGUUUUGUCAAUACUACUAAAUUGUGCUAUGCUGUUAUUUUAUACUAUACAAUACCAUACUGUAUUAUACUAUACUGUGCUCUGCUUUAUGAUAACAUACUUUACAGUACCAUAUUACACUAAUGUUCAAAGGUUUUAAGUUGUUAAUAUUUUGUAAAAAAAAAAAAAAAAAAAAAAAAAAAAACAAAAAAUUUUUUUUUAAAAAAAUUUUAUAAAAAAUAAAUUUA